rnacentral:lncRNA from 1 species
AUGGCAGGGCAAGGGUUGAGGCUUGGAGGAAUAAGCAGAAAUCUUACUGUUUUCUUUCUUAGAAAUUUUGAAGAACUUCAACUUUAUUCUGCAGAUAGAGUUUCCAAACUUAUGAGACUUAAUAGUCCUGGAGGGAUGAGCAGGGGCAUCUGGAACGACUGUCUGAACCAUCAGUUAGCCCUUGGUUUUGGGCCUGCUGUCUCUCUUGCCGUUAUCAAAGAAGAUGAGCCCCUGCUGGCAAAGACCGGGAAGUCAGAUAGGAGAGAAAACAAAAUCUGA